GGAACGCAAGACAAUAGUCUAGUUCUCUCGAACAAUACGAGAACGCUUUUCGUAGCGUUCUCGUAUUGUUCGAGAGAACUAGACUAUUGUCUUGCGUU